rnacentral:lncRNA from 1 species
UCCUGCUGGGUCCGCCUCUGCCGCCCCCAGGAUGCUAGGACGCCCACAAAGAUAACCUUACGCUAUUCCGCUCGGCCUACAGACCUCAGCGCUAGACAUGGACGCCCUUCAAAGGAGGACAUUUCAGCGGACGGCAGAGAAUACAGAUUUAUGCCGGAGCGGUGGGGAAGGAGCCUCUGGCGGGUCAUCCGCAUUUAUGGGAGAUCGCAGAGUGCAAGCCUGCAAUCCCAGUCUUCUCUCCCUUUGCUGUCGCCGGCUUCAGCUGUACUGCUCCAAGUACUCCACCACUGCCCCAAAGAAAAAGAUUGAGAACCGCUGACAACUCUGAUUUCCAAGGGAAACCCGACACCCUAGGAGGGAAUAAAAAGAAAUGUUGAAAAGGCUCAAACUGGGUCCUGAGGUC